GAUGAAGAACGCAGCGAAAUGCGAUAACCAAUGUGAAUUGCAGAAUUCAGUGAAUCAUCGAGUCUUUGAACGCACAUUGCGCCCCCUGGUAUUCCGGGGGGCAUGCCUGUCCGAGCGUCAUUGCUGCCCUCAAGCACGGCUUGUGUGUUGGGCUCCGUCCCCCCGGGGACGGGCCCGAAAGGCAGCGGCGGCACCGAGUCCGGUCCUCGAGCGUAUGGGGCUUUGUCACCCGCUCUGUAGGCCCGGCCGGCGCCAGCCGACAACCCAUCAUCCUUUUCAGGUUGACCUCGGAUCAGGUAGGGAUACCCGCUGAACUUAAGCAUAUCAAUAAGCGGAGGA
rnacentral:misc_RNA from 1 species